GAUGAACGCUAGCGGCAGGCUUAAUACAUGCAAGUCGAGGGGCAGUCCCGCCUUCGGGCGGGAGCGACCGGCAAACGGGUGCGGAACACGUACAGAACCUUCCUUCGAGCGGGGAAUAGCCCAGAGAAAUUUGGAUUAAUACCCCAUAGCAUUAUGGAGUGGCAUCACUUUAUAAUUAAAGAUUUAUCACUUGAAGAUGGCUGUGCGGCUGAUUAGAUAGUUGGUGAGGAACGGCUCACCAAGUCUACGAUCAGUAACUGGUGUGAGAGCACGACCAGUCACACGGGCACUGAGACACGGGCCCGACUCCUACGGGAGGCAGCAGUAAGGAAUAUUGGUCAAUGGACGCAAGUCUGAACCAGCCAUGCCGCGUGGAGGAUGAAGGUCCUCUGGAUU
rnacentral:rRNA from 1 species